UUUCCGUAGGUGAACCAGCGGAAGGAUCAUUAACGAGUUAGGGUCUUCCAGGCCCGACCUCCCAACCCUAUGUUUAUUGAACCUCUGUUGCUUCGGCGGACCCGCCUCACGGCCGCUGGAGGACCGCUGCAAGGCGUCCUCUGGCCAGCGUCCGCCGAUGGCCAACCACUUAAACUCUGAAUGAAUCGUGUCAUAUGUCUAAGUCUAUGAUUAAAUUAAAGCAAAACUUUCAACAACGGAUCUCUUGGUUCUG
rnacentral:misc_RNA from 1 species